GUGGGGAAUAUUGGUCAAUGGACGGAAGUCUGAACCAGCCAUGUCGCGUGAAGGAGGAAGGUACUAUGUAUUGUAAACUUCUUUUGCCUGGGGGUAAAGUGGGUCACGUGUGGCCUAUUGCAAGUACCAGGCGAAUAAGCAUCGGCUAACUCCGUGCCAGCAGCCGCGGUAAUACGGAGGAUGCGAGCGUUAUCCGGAUUUAUUGGGUUUAAAGGGUGCGUAGGCGGGACGUCAAGUCAGCGGUGAAAUACUGUGGCUCAACCAUAGCAUUGCCGUUGAAACUGGCGACCUUGAGUGCGGCAGAGGUAGGCGGAAUGUGUGGUGUAGCGGUGAAAUGCUUAGAUAUCACACAGAACACCGAUUGCGAAGGCAGCUUACUGGAGCGCAACUGACGCUGAGGCACGAAAGCGUGGGUAUCGAACAGG
rnacentral:rRNA from 1 species